rnacentral:rRNA from 1 species
CCUACGGGAGGCAGCAGUGGGGAAUUUUGGACAAUGGGCGCAAGCCUGAUCCAGCAAUGCCGCGUGAGUGAGGAAGGCCUUCGGGUUGUAAAGCUCUUUUGUCAGGGAAGAAACGGUUGAGGCUAAUAUCCUCGGCUAAUGACGGUACCUGAAGAAUAAGCACCGGCUAACUACGUGCCAGCAGCCGCGGUAAUACGUAGGGUGCAAGCGUUAAUCGGAAUUACUGGGCGUAAAGCGUGCGCAGGCGGUUUUGUAAGUCUGUCGUGAAAGCCCCGGGCUUAACCUGGGAAUUGCGAUGGAGACUGCAAGGCUUGAAUCUGGCAGAGGGGGGUAGAAUUCCACGUGUAGCAGUGAAAUGCGUAGAGAUGUGGAGGAACACCGAUGGCGAAGGCAGCCCCCUGGGUCAAGAUUGACGCUCAUGCACGAAAGCGUGGGGAGCAAACAGGAUUAGAUACCCUGGUAGUCCACGCCCUAAACCGAUGUCUACUAGUUGUCGGGUCUUAAUUGUACUUGGUAACGCAGCUAACGCGUGAAGUAGACCGCCUGGGGGAGGUACGGUCGGCGAGGAGUUAAACGUUAAAACGUUAAGUAAGUUAGUACGGUACGUGUAGACGUACGACCGACGGACGACGACGACGGGAGGGAGGGAG